UUCCAUAAACUACCAUUGCAGAUACCUCGAGGAGCUUAGAUCCGAUCAAAACUUUUUUUUUCAAACAUCAACGGAAGAAAUAGUGUAGCUACUUUUGCUUGUACCUCAGAGCUAUUCUGGAGUACUCUGCAUAAUUGGACGCAACCUCUUAUUUUGUGGCUAUCCAUAAGAAGCUAAGGUACUUCUGCUAAUUGCAUUGCUUCUACUCUUUCCACCACAUUAAUGAUUUUUUUCAAUCUGAUUAAAUUCCUUUUUUGUUUAUUU
rnacentral:lncRNA from 1 species